GUUUUGUAUUUCGACCAGUGAUCCUGAACUUUGAGCUAGAUAAACUAACUGAAUCAGAGUUUGGAUUAUCUCUCCUGGAAAGGGAACAAGUAUGUUCUAUUUGUGGAAAGAAAUUUGCAUCUAAAUAGUUGGGUAGCUGAGCAAAUAUUGUACCAGAGACUGCUAUCUGUCUACCAAAUUCCAUUCUGUCCUUCCUUUAUGGCAAAUACAGAUUAAGAAAGAAACCUAACCAUGUGUGGGAAGAGGAGGAAUAUUUUAGAGGACUAUUGCAAGAGCCCAGUAAGAUAUGAGGGUGGCUUGGUUGGGAAUGGUGGCCGGGAGGGAGCACAACCAUUUCCUGGACUUACUGUGAAUUUUGUCACUGGACACACUCAUGAAUUAGAUUAAGCUGGACUUGGCCACAGCAGAAAAGGCAGAGGCUAUUAUAAUUACACUACUUUAAGAUCAAAGUCAGAAUUGCAGUUUAGGGAAGAGUGGUUAAUAUUAGAGAAUUAGGUUAAAAGAGUUGGGGAAGAGAGCAGAAAGAAGCCCAGGAAUUAGAAGACAUGUUAACUUCUCAAGUGGGGGAGAGGAUACAAGAUCCUGAGUUAUCCAACACCUAACACAAGGAACCAGAGGCUAUAUUCAAAUUAAUUUUAUAGAUUUGUCUGCAUUUCACUGUAUUGACCAUUGGAAGUCUUUACUGACUUCUGUGAACUCCUUGAACAUAUUAUGCUUAACUCUGUAAUGGUCAGUUAUAGUUCAAUUAGCCUCUAAGAUAUGGAAUUAAUGACCCAUGGAAUGUAGCAGCAGUCUCCAAAGUUGAACACAUCAGGAUAACCUAGAAAGUGUGUUAAAAUACAUGCUUCAUGACCCUCAGUGAUCAAACAAGUGCCUGGUAGGAUGGAACAAUGUACUGUAAUCAAAACAUGAUAACUUUUCCAAUGCUAGUAAAAGUUAUAAAUUCAAGUCUCAUAACUUAAUUAUAACUAUAAUUAUAUUAUUUUAUUAUCCAACCAUGUACUUUUUACUUUUUGAAUUGGCUAAAAUUUACCAAUGUCACUUUUUUUCUUUCCUCAAUUCUUUCUAUUACUCUCUUUACAAUCAAAAUGCAGCAUAAUCUAUCAAGCAGAAAGGAACAUUCUAUGCAGAAAAGAUUUGGAAAACAUGAGACAUGAAAGGGAGGAAAGAUGAGACAUGAAAAGAAAAGAGGAAAACUUAAGAGUCAUGGCCAGGUAUCUUUACACUAGCAACUAUAAAUGAUUGAUGCAAGAAUUUAAGCGCCAUCAGAAAUUUUCUUGUUGAGGACAGUGCUUUUCUGAGACUAAUAUGGUAUUGUUUUUGUUUGUUUGGCUUGCAGACUCUAUACUAGAUGAUUUUUACCUUUGUCUUAAAAGAUAUCAUUUUUCCUUUACACACAAGAAAAUGAAGGCUCAGAGAAGUAAUUUGUCCAAAAUAUAUACAGUGUCCAAGUGAUGGAGAGUUUGAGUCUAAACAGUUUUGCUCCUGCAUUUGCUGGCUUAACCAUUCUGCUGUAGAGUCAUACUCUUGCGAAACUGCAGAAUAAUAACAUAACUGAGUUUUUAACAUAAAUGAUAAAAAUAACAAACUGUUUUAAAACUUAGCACACUAGAAAGGAUUAUAAAAUUGUCUAUCUUCAUUUCCUAACUUAAAAAUGAAAAAGUUAAGAUCAGAAGACACUAAGAUAAAGGUCAAAGUCAUAUUGUUAGUAAAAAAACUUGACAAACCAGUUCUGAUUUCCAACUUAGUGUGCUACUGUUUUAACCAAACAAAUUGGAGAUUUACAAAGUUAAUCAGAACUCCAUAUGGAUAAAAUAGGUGUGACCGGUAAAGGACUUUUGGCCAUAUGAAUGAAAUUUGGUUUGCAGUUUAAUAAACAAAGCAGGUAUUAAGGCCAGUGUGUUGUUUAAUGCUAAUGUAUUAAAGAGCAAAGAUUUUAAUCCGAAGUCCAUGUGGUGGUUCAAAAGAGAUGCGAAAGCUUUCCAUUUCCUCCUGGAAUGCUGACAGCCAGAAGGAAUACCACUCUUGCCGUUGCAACUUUGUCACAUAUAGCUAGACAAACUACAAAUUCAUCACUGGAUAGGAACCCACCAAAAAGUUGAGGGUGCACAGUAAUUAACCUGAAAUGUAAGAAAACUAUCUGCGAGGGGAGAGAGAUAUGAAUACUCAUUUCACCGGAGCAGAUGCAACUACACACCAGUGAAAAUUAGUUAAAGAAUUCAAUGAAGAAAUGGGCAGAAGCCAAAUCUCAGAAGAGCCUUCAGCUACAGGCAGACAGCUACAAGCAUUGCUGCGCUUGCACUGGGGAAAAAAUUCUAGCUGUAUAGAAGGAACAAAAAAGGUUCUUGGCCUCAGAGGAAAGGCUGGAAUAUGUGAAUAGCCCUUAACUAUAGCUGUUGGAUGUGCAGAAGCACCGAGAAAGUCACAACCUCAAGAUCCAGGGACAAGAGGCUGCAUCAUACCAAGGAUUAAGGAGAAUAACAGGGACUUUCCCUCCGGCCUCCUUCUCCCCAGGCUAACAGUCAUCAGGUAACAGGCAAUGUUGGAGUAUGGACAGAGAAAGCAAGCACAUCUGAAGCACAGUGGAAGAGAAUGCAAAGCAGAUAACAGAGAAACCCUCUGCAAAUAAGUCCCCACCUUACAGUCAGAUGUCUCUGAAAGAAUUUGAAUACUGUUACCCCUGUUACCCUGAGUAUAAGAUAGCAUCAGGAAUCCUCAAACUCAACUCUUUUACUUUCCUAGAUCAACUCAAUUACUGUGAAUAAAGUCCUAGCAAAAGGAAAGGUAUGUCUAUAUAUAAACAUAGAAACUGUCUGAAUUUCUCUCUCUACACAAAUGCCCAACUCUCAACAAAAAUUACAAUAAAAACAAAUAAGAAAAAGCAACAAAUUAGCAAGAAAAAAGCAGUCAAUAGACCCAAGCUAUGAAAUUGAUCAGAAAGGAAAUUUGAAGUAACUAUGGUUAAUAUAUUGAAGGCUGUAAAGAAAAAGAUGGACAACAAAUAAUAACAGGUAGACUAUUUCAGCAGAGAUGGAAACUAUGAUAUGGAGUAAAAUGGAAAUGUUAGCAAUGAAAAGCAAAAUAACAGAGAUGUGUAUAACAUUUAAGGGCUUAUUAGAAGACUCAACAUAGCCAAGGAAAGAGUUAUUCAGCUUGAAAAUAAAUCUUUAAACAUUACCCAAAAUGGAGCACAAAAAGAUCCAAACUGUGUUCCUUAUUUAUUGUUAGUGAAGGCUGGGAUGUAGCUCAGUGAUAGAGCACUUGCCUAGAGUAUGCAAGGUCCUGGGUUUACUUCCCUGUUGUACUCAGAGUUUGGAACUGGAACAGUUUUCAGGGCUUGGGAUAUUUAGCAAACAUGACAAAUACAAUUCAAAUUUGUUUUUACUCUUCUAAAUGCCUGAGUGAUUCCAGGGUGUAAUCACAAGAAACUGUUUUCUCAAACAGUCGUCAAUACCAAAUUAGAACCUGAAGAGAUUCUUGUUCUGGUUUGGAUCCAUUCAGAAUGAAAAUAAUAUGCAUUUUUUAUAAUAUUCACUAAUUUAACAGAUAACGUUUGUUUCUUAAUUACUUAACAUUCUGGUUGCCUAAAUCCUUUCCUUCUUCACAAAUAGCAUUUGCCACUCUUUCCCAUCGUCUUAUGAAGUAUCAGAUUGUUCAUUCACUAAAGAAUGCUCGUGGGUAGGUGUGCCAAAGAACUUGGAGGGAUGCUGUACACAUGGUGUCCUAGGUCUCCUGUGAGGUUUGUUUCCUGGAGGAGUCCAGAAAGAAGCUGUUCUCUGCUGAACCAUGGGUCAAGGAAAAUGUUGACAGAACUAUCAACUCUCAAUUUCCUAAACUUGGCAGGGUUCAAACUUCCAAGACAAAGCUGAUAGUGUCAAGGUAAACAUGAAGGUUUUUAAUAUGGAUACCAAUCUCUAGGAAGGGCAUUAGGAAAUCCCUCAGUUAUCACGGUGAAACCACCAUCACCACUCAGCUAAGGUGCAAGUAGCAAUCAAGUCAUUCCUGAUUAUCUCAACCAGCAAUCAAGACUUUCCCCUGGGAUUGGUCUGACCUCGGAAGACAAUGAGGCAAGUCCCAACAAGGAGGAGCCAUCUGCUCGGACGGCAGGGUAGAGAAUAUGACAUAGACUGGUGCACAAAAGCCAUUUAAGCAGAACACUAGGGAGAGACCUUGAGGUGACUUCCACAGCCCAGUUGCUGUUUCUUUUUUGAGAAAGUGAGCAAUGGCCCGAAGCUAGAAAUGCAAAAUGCAUCCCUCAAUAUAAGUAUUCAUCACACACCUAAAUCUUACAUUUUAUAGUUGUCAGACAUUUUAGCUUUCACAAAGUCUGAGUUUAGAUUUUGAAAGGUUUUUCACAACUUUGAAGUGCAUUUAGUAAAUGUAUAGUCUAAUUUUAUCCAAACUAUUAGCUCCAUACCUACAGAUGGCUUUGAAUGUACCAAAAGAAUUUAUUUUGCUAGAUAUGAGAAGUGGCUGGUUCCUCUGACAUGGCAACCCUGUAGUUGUCACCUCUUGGGGAGUUUCACAGUGAAGUUAGUUGUUAUUAAAAGGAACAUCAGAAUUCAGCUGGAGUCUUGGAAGAAAAUCAAGUUUUGUCUGUUUGUACAAAGAUAAAAGUCAGUGUCAGAUUUCUGAGCUCUUUAGAUUAGAAAGAUGUUUGGACUUGAAAAAUAAAGACCCAAGAGAAGGAGGUGUUCAUAUUAGAGCUGCUAUGCUGUCAUGAGAGGAUCUCUUAGAUCUCUUAUAGCAGGGUCAUUGGGGAGGAAAGAAGAUUAUCAAUGUGACUGUCAUACUGAAGGCAAUUUUUAUCAAGGUCCAAAAGUAAAUUUUCAAUAAAUAAUCUGAUUCUUGCUAAAUGACUCACACGGAGGUGGCUUUGAUUCUCACUCAAGUAAACAAAAAUUCGAGACAGCAUAGGCAAUGCUUGUUGAAUUUACUUGGAUGAAACUGUUUAUUUGAAAUAAAGCACAAAGCUAUUUUCUUUUUGCUGCAUUGUGGGUGCAAUAUCCAUAUCAUGACAUUAAGUAGGAGAGGAAUGGAACUAUGGUAUUGCUGUGGGUCUCUCAGAGUGCGAGAGAGAUACUACAGACAAAAGAAAGUUCUAAACGUUAAAGAAGUAAGUUUUAAUUUUGCUGCUUGAAAUUGUAGUAAUCACUGAUAGGUACUUAAUUUAAAAUUAUUUUUCAGUUGAACAAAAAGGGACUAUGCACAAUAUAUAGCUUAAGAGUAAUAAGUUAGGGGGCCGGGGAUUUAGCUCAGUGGUUCCGGCGCCUGCCUUGCAAGUGCAAGGUCCCGAGUUCAAUCUCCGGUACCCAAAACAAAGAAUAAUAAAUUAGGAAAGUAAGGUAAAAACUUAGAGUUGCCUCUCUCACAGAUAAUAUUUUUAGCUUGAAGACAAUCUGACCAAUGUGAGGUUCUGGGAAGUUAAAAAGAGCUUCCGAAAUGAAAUGUUGCUGAGACAUAUAUUUUAACUUAUAGUUUGCGAGAUUUGUUUUUUCCCCUGAUGAUAAGUGAGGAGAGAGCAACUGGAGAAAAGCAAAGAUAUGUUUCAGUUGAGACUAUGCCAGAACAGUGACUCACAGCGUCCUAAUCAGGCAGGCAUGACAGCUCAUUGAAUAAGGCCCACCCCACCCACCCUGGAAAUUGUUCUUUGCCCAAGCUCAGCACCCUGAAAACGACUUUCUAGACAUGUCACCAUGCUUGCUGUGGAUUGUCAAGGAAACUAUGAAAAUGCUGACCAAGGCAGGGGUUAAGUUAUUAUAUGACCAAGGCUGCCUUUUCAGAUAGGCUCAGCUCUGAGUGUCUGUGUAUUUGCGCACAUGUGCAUGUUUAAUUAAAGAAGCGUUUUUAUGUAUGUCUUUUUGAUUUGCUGUACAUUUUCCUAGCAAUUAAUAUUUAUGCAUAUUUAUAUGACCCACCCAUCUUUUGAUAAAAAUUGCCAUAAUCAUUUCUGUUUAUGUUUUUUUCACAUAUGACUUGUAGGAUUAUAUGGGUUAAAUAAAUUUAUGGCUUAAAGGAACUUUUAAACUCCUCAUCUUGUAGAUGGAAAAUAGAGGCCUUAUCCACCAGGGGUGGCCUUUGGUCAGCCUCAUAUAACAGCCAGGACCAAAAUCCAGUCUCUCUACUUAUGUUAUGAGUUUAAAGAAUUAUUUCAACAGUUAUACAAGAUUGAAUAUGCUUUACAAAUUGUUGUUAAUGAAAACUGCAGAAACACUAAGUAUUUUGGUUUAAAUUCAUGGUUUCACAGCAUGACCAUGCCUUGAAUCAUUUCGGAAAUUAAAAAAAAAAAGAAAAUUUGAAAAAAGAGUUAAAAAAAGAACCAAUACAGAUCUAGUGACUCAGAAUCUGAUAAGGGUGUACCAAAGCAUUAGAAUAUUUAGAAAAUUCUCCUGUUUUUAAUGGAUUUCUAAUGUAGUGUGUAUAGAUCAGUGUUGAGAAAGCAGGCAUAUGUCUAUUUUUCAAGAUGAUUGGAUAGAAAGUAGGCUGAACUAUCCAGCUAAAGUAGCUAAACUAGCUACCUACUGAAGAAAUAAAAUCAUAAGAGUUUAGCUUAGGGAAACUCAACUAGUUUUAAUAUCAAGCUAUUUCUUUCAUGCUCUCUCGUCACUAUUUCAUUAUGGCAGUUGUAAGAGAAACUCAGAACCUCCACUAUUAUUAAAAGGCAAACCUAUUGGCUUUUGCUAUGAACAAAAGGACUGCUAGAAUAUUUUAAAACAGGAACUUAGUGUUUUGAUUGAAUCCUAAAUAAAUACCCAAUAGAUAUUAAUGAAAUCUACUCUGUUAUUUCUUUUCUUUCCUUUUCUUUUUUUUUAAGUAAUUGCAGGAUCUCUGUAUUGGUUGGUGUGAAGAAUAACACAAUAGGGGAGAUAACAGCUUCCUGGGCCCUAUUAUUGAUCAAAUGGCAAAUCUGGCCUCAUGAAAAUCAGGCAAAAUCACAGGCCGUACUUUAUGUGCACAGGUUACAUUUCACAUAAGAUUUUAUUAAUCCUAGUAGUCAAAUCUUUUCUAUGAUCUUCCUAAUUUGUGCCCCUGCUCAUGACUUCAAUGGCCUAUCUAAUCAAGAGACCAAGGAAGAUGUUUCUGACUGUGUCAUUUUUGAUAUCCCAAUUAGGUCCGGAUGCAACAGCUUGGACCUUAGGGACAUCAUUUGUCAUAGGGGACCGCUAGUGUGUUCUCUCCUUAAUGCUCUUUCAGUAUCCUGGGGCAGCAUGUUCCUUCCCCUGGAGAUCCAUUCUCCUUUCCUUUUGUCUUCACAUUUGUAAUAUUUCUCUCAUCAGGCCACAGGAGUGGACACAUGACUCAAGACCAGCAGCACAAAGUCUUCUUAGGAUUAUUUCAAAUGGCAACUAGAAAAAACCAAAACAAAACACUUCCCUUCUCUGUUGAAGGCACAAGACAAUUCAUCAUAGGAGUGAAUUUCAGGCAAAGGAAGGGGGCCCUAAAAGGGCAUAAAAGCUUCCCUGCAAUCUUGGAGUCCUUUUCUAUCGUCCUGUGAUCCCCCUUUCCUACCAUCCUCUGCUUCAGUUCUUUGCUUCUGUGAAGCAAUAGGCUUUUCUUUCCAGUCUCAGUAGUAUGGAUGGGCUUCUGUAACUUGUAACUGAAAUGGCUUUAAUUCAAGAAAACUUCAAAAUGCCCUAGAUUUCACAUGCCAUUUAGGGGAAAUCCAUACUGUUUGCCUUUUUCCCACAAUGGACUUGAAGAGAUGGGAUGGCCGAAGCAACUUUACUGCCAGCUGUUCUCUCAGAAAUUUUUGUUGCUGGAUAUUCUCUGGAAAAAUUGAAAGAGAUAACAAUUGACAACAACAACAAUGAAAGCCUCUUAGAAAAUGUCAGAUUAAGCCCAGAGGAACAGUAAAGACAGCAGAUCUCAAUAGUUGUUGACAUUUGUAUAAUACAAAUACAAAAUUACAACAUUUUGUAUUUAUGGUUUUGUGCAAAUACUUGAAAUGCACACAUCAGUUCUUCAAUAGAAGAAGCAUAAUGUUGUGUUUUCAGUUCAAAAUACCAGUAAAUUUGGAAAAAUCUUCCUGAGUAAGCUAAAUUUAUUUUUAUGUGUUUUAAAGUGCUGAUAGGACCUUAUUUAUAUUUUUCUUCAAUUUACAAAGAUUUUUGUCUUUCGACUAAUUGUAUUAUUUUAUCAAGAACUUUAACUGAUUUGAAAUGAUCAAUUCUUUUUCCCAUUAAGUUUAUUGGUACAUUUUAGGUAUAAAAUACAGUUACAUUCACCAUUGGGAUCUUGUAUCAUUACAUGAGUAUCUUGGUUCUUUUUUUUCCCCCUUCCUCUGCCCUCCCUUCACCCCCUCCACCCUUCUCUAUUUGCAAAGAUUUUGUUUCCAUUUUUUUCCUUUUCUCAUAUUUUUUCUUUUUCCUUCUUUCCUUUCCCCUACCCCUCCCACUUCCCCUGCUCCUUUAGAACUUUACUUCCUAUUACACAAUAUCAAUUAUACAUUUUAAAAAUUAAAAUAUCAAGACCUAGGAGACAUUACCAGAUUUUUCAGAAUUUAAAAGGAUAUAGAAAGCAUAUUGCAAAAAUCUGUUUUGCAAUAAAUUUGACAACUUCUAAGAAGUACCUUAGAAGACAAAUUAAUGAAACUAACUCUGGAGGAAAUAUAAAAUUUGAAAAGCACCUAUUAAAGAAAGUAUAUUCCUAGCUUGAAAACCUACCUAUAUGACAACAACAGGCUCACAUACAUUUUAACUGAUAAAUUAUAUCAAACAUUUAAAGCAGGAAAGCAAAAAGGAACACUUCUCCCCUCAUUUUAGGAAAUUAACAUUGUGCUAAUCCUAAAACUGGGUAAAGAUAAUAGAAGAAAAAAGCAUGAACAUAGAUAAAAAUUUGUUUAACAAAACAAACUAUUAGAAGUCAGAUCUGGCAGUAUGUAGAAAGUGGUUUUAUUAUAGGGAUAGCAGUGUUGGUUCAGCAUUGGAAGAUCCACCCCUAAAGUCAUCUGAAAUGAUCAAUGUUAUUGCCAGAAUUUAUCGCUUUGAUCCUGUGUUAUCUAUAAUAUUAGUUUGGGUUUAUACUUGACCUAAGCAUAUUAAAUAUUUUCUAACUUUCAAGCAACAAUACUAUCCAAGUAUUUCUUUUAUGUUCUGAACAAUUAUAAUUAUGUUUCAUAUAUUUGCAUUAUUUAGCACUUGAUAAAGUUUCACUUUUGACAUUCAUAGUAGUGUUUAGGUAUAUCAUGUUUUUAUUCAUAUUAGCCCAGUUGACAAAGCCUUUUGUAGUUUCGGUCUCCAUACUCAAAUGUUUGAGUCAUAAUCAAAGAACCAUCACAGUUUUAGAAUUUGCUGAAUGUGGUAUUUCUUGCAUCAGAUGAAGACAUGAAUAACACGUUGUAUGGCCACAGGUGAUGCUGACUAUAGGCCAAUUUGUAUUUGUGACCUGCAUGAGAGAAUCGAUAGGCAUGUAUUUGCAUUUCUAAUCACUAAGUACUUAUUGAGAACACACUGGAUGCUAUGCUCAGCAUUUGAUAUAUAAAUUGUGGACGAGUCGACAUGAGUGUAGGGCAUGAAUUAACCAACACAGCAUCAUUAUAAAACACAGGGCCUAAAUUGUACUUCUCCUUCACUUUCAUUAGAAAUUCAAAAAAAGGAAAAAGUAGGCUAGAUUUGUUUAUCUGGAAAAUACAAGUACUGUGUAGUAUCAAAAUGAUAUAGGCAGAAAAAAAGCAAAGAGAUUUCAGCCAUCUGAAGUAGACUCCUCCUAUGUAAUACCUUGAUCAAAUGCUUAAUUUGCCUACAUCUGACCUGACCAAUGGAGUCAAAGAACUCAGUACCUUGUGAGGAGGUCCUUUGUCCCAUCUUAGUUUAAUCAUAAUGUUCUUCAUGUUUAAUUGAGAUUAAUCAGAACAGAAACUUCUGGCCCCUUCUGGCAAUUGGGCCUCUACUGUCUGGAGAGCCUAGGGUGUUCAUUCAAUCUGACACCUGUCAAGAAGAGCCCAGCACCCCUCUUCUCAUCCCAUGUCCUCCACAAAAGGAAUGUUCGUGUCUGUGAGGUUUCCUGGAGUUUGUAAAAACCUGUACAUUGCCCAGGAAAAAGAUGCUCCAACUCUCUUAUCUUUAUUUGGAACAGUCCAUGCUAGAGUUUUUUUGUUUUUUGUUUUUUUAAUGCGAUGGAAGAAAAGAGGAAACAAUGGAUAGAGAUUUUUAACUUGAUACUUUCCCAGGUUCCAGGCCUUCUGGCGGAAGCAGGCCUUGAAGCCUGCGUAUGCGUCACUGGAUUUAAUCCUUCUAGCAACACCGUGAAAUCUGUAUCCUUCUCUGUAUUCCUUAUGAGAAAUUUGAAGCUUGGAGAAAAUAAAUAAAGCUGAACAUUUUCUCUUCAC
rnacentral:lncRNA from 1 species